CAGAGCGUGGGCUUUCAAUAGCAUCCAGGUAUGUUGAAUUGAGAGACAACAGAUUCUACAACAGUGCCAAUGUAUGGACUUUCAUUUAAAUUAGGUCAUACUAAAAAGAGUUCAUUCCACUGUUCUAGUUUAUUUAUUUAUUUAUUUAUUUUUACACAGGGAUGAUCUGUUAGGGAGAAGCCAGUCUUAAUUUGAUUCUUAUGUACUCAUACAUGAGCUUGAUUAAAAAUAUCCCAGCAGGUCUUUUCAGAAACUCCAUUAUUUUAACAACCUGAAGUGUGACUUUUAUGGCUUAGAGAGGUGUAUGCUGUGGGUCAUUUGGAAGUUCUAAAGAAAUGCUGUAGCAUCAAACUAUGAGGGUCUCACAAGCUGGCUCAUGAUAAUCUCAGACUCAGGCAUAGAGGAACUGCUUAUCCCCAACUUCUGAGAAGGUUUCACUGAAGACACACUCACCACACCUAACUAGUGGUACUUAUUAGGAGUGCUUCACCUAUUUUUAAGGAAGACUUGACUUCAAUCAGAGCAUCUGAUUGUGCUGUUCAGUAAGGUUCCUGUUCAAGCAGUAAAGCCCUGAUUCCUCUCUGCAUCUCAAGAACUUGACACUGAUGGAGACCCCUUCCCUGAAUUUAUGACACAUGAACUCAUCAUCCUGCUGAGGAUGAUCUCAGACUCAGGAUCUAAGGAUUUCCUUCUUUGCCUUCUCCUGAGAAGCUUUUGAUGAAGACACAGAGCACACAAAUUACACGGGUCUCACAAGAUUGCUCAUGAAAAUUUCAGACUCAGGCAUGGAUGAAGUGCUUCUCCCUAACUUCUGAGAAUUUCAUUGAAGACACACUCACCACACCUAGCUGAAUUACUUCCCAAGCUAUCUCAGACUUUAUGUGGAUGCAGUUGUUCACAUGUUGGGUGCCAUUUUUAAGGAAGCCCAUUCCUCCCCAGUCCUGCCCAGAUCACUGAAGAAGCAGGAUGUGAUCUGUCCUGCUGAAAAAAGAAACAUGAACUCAUCAUCCUGCUGAAGAUGAUCUCAGACUCAGGCACUAAGGUGGUCCUUCUCUGCCUUUUCCAGAGAAGCUUUUGAUAAAGACACAGAUCACACGCCUAGCUGAUGGGCUGUUUGUUUAGACUUAUAAUCUUCAUUUUUCAUCUUACAUCUAUCAAUCACCACCUGUGUUCACCUGUCACUUCAGUGAGGCUCUUGCCUGGCUCACAUAUGGUACAGUGGUACACAACUGUACCAAGAGAGUAACAGUUGGAGACCCCAGCAAGAUCAGGAGUUACAGUUGGAGGACCAUCAGCAAGACUGAGAAGGAGGGGACCCCUGAGAGAUCACCCUUGGAUGCUCACCAGCAGGUACAUAUUGUUUCUACUGUGUGGAAAAUACAUUUGUUUACCCUUCCCUGUCUGUACAUUCCAGUAUUUGAGAUCAAGCAAG